CCUAAUUCUUUCUUAAGAAGCGUUAAGAAGCUUAGCUGAAAUUGUAGCCUACAUUUGCGUGUCUAUUAUUUCAUUCUUGAUGAUAUAUUUUCAUCAGAAUGAUUUUUGAAAAAUGUACGUCCGCAAUAACGAAUGUGUUAGGUCUAACUAAAACUUAGUAUUGGCUAUUCUCGUUUGACCAGCUCUGAGAAAAGUCAGCAGUUUAACGAAAUUUUCAUAAACUCCUCAGUUUUCUCAGAGCUGGGCAAACUGCUAGAACCAAAUCUCUUUUUUGUGUUGAUAGCUAUCACAUUCGUGGUCAUUAUUGCGGUCCUAUAUUUUUGAAAAAGGAUUCUUAUGUAAAGAAAUCAUCAAAA